CCAUCCCUGGCAUAUGAUAUAACCCCUCGUCCUCGAAUGGAUGCUUCUGAGGAGAGAGGUUUGCUCGGCGACCGCUUGACCGGCGGGCUGGAGCAAGCGAGGAAAGCGAGGGCAGUGCGGGGAAAGGAAGGCGUCCACUCCGGAGGGCGUCGUGGUGCCUCUUAAAAUGUGGCGCACUAUUAUUUUCCCUCAGACUCCUGGCCCGGUUCCUUUCCAAGUCAAGUGAUUGUAAAUAUAGCCCGGGUGUUGUUUACAUGAAACCAUCCAGGGGGAGGAGCGCAGAGAGGAGGAAGAGGAAGGCGGAGGAGGCUUCCCAGGCUGGCAGGGGCAGUGAAGAAGUAAAGAUGCCUUAUGCCUUUUUCUGAGGAAUACAGCUCCUACUGUUGCCAGCGUCAAAUCUAAUUUUCCAGGAACCUCCUUCAGUUCCAUCUGAAGAUCCACCACCAACUGGAUAUGGAAUUAAUGCAUCUAAAAAAAGUAGGUUACAAUGAUAUGUUUCAUUGUAGAUCAAAAAUCUGCAUCCGGUCCAAAUGCUACAGUCUAUUUUAAACUUUGGAAUGCUAUUUCUGAGCAGAGGAAAAUAAUAAUCUCAUCUUGUUAUAAUUAUUUCCCCAACAUGUCAGCAUCAUCUGAAGAAUUCAGAAUUUAUAUGCACAUCCUUAAGCAAUAACACUUAUUCAUUUGGAUGGUGGGGAAUGGCCAGCUGUCUGCAAGGAAUAUAAAUCCUUCCAUUCCCCACCAUCCUG